UCUCCCAGUUAUCCAAGUGCAUUAUCAUCAACCCCAUGUGUAUAAACAUCUGAAGUGACUGCUCAGAGGAUUUGAUAUCUGAUUAGCAUUACCAGAUGUGGAAUGGCAACAUGGCUGAACAAUGCCUGAGGGGCAGGAUGGAGCAAGCCGCCAGCAGUGGAGGACAUAAACUUUAAAAGGAAAAUUAAAAGUGUUAUGUUUCAAAAAAUAACAGUCAUCUGAAAAAAGAAGAGAUGGGCCUGGAGAAAAACUGGAUCCAAACAGUCCCUGGAUGCUGAAGAAAUUUACAUCCAGGCUGGAUUAAAAAUGUGCAAGUAAACCUCAUCAUUCAUCAGA